AUAAAUUUAAAAUUUACAACCAAAAUACCCAAAAACUUUUACGCGAUCUCUUAAAAGGCUUUGAACAUCUAAAGAAGGACCAAGGGUUUUCUCCUGUUCGAUUCUAGCGCUUUUUCGUGCAGCCAUGUCGUCCAAGCAAGGUGGGAAGGCGAAACCACUCAAGCAACCCAAAGCUGAUAAGAAGGAAUACGACGAGGACGACCUUGCUCAUCUCCAGAAGAAGAAAGAUGAGGAGAAGGCACUGAAGGACUUGAAGGCCAAGGCUUCCCAGAAGGGUACUUUUGGAGGGGCUGGGCUCAAGAAGAGCGGUGGGAAGAAAUAACAAUUGCUUCUUUAUGCUUAAAUCAACCUAUUUGCUCACUUCUCUUUACUAUGUUUCGACAAAAGCUUUAUUAUUGUUAUGCUUAGUAGUACUUCAUCUCACUAGCUGUGUUUGUGUUGACUAUCACUAACUGGAAUGCAUGCUUUAUUUACUUGUUUAAUCAUUUGUGCGCUUGGCAGUGAUGAUAAAUAAGUCUUGAUUAGU